UACGUAGGGUGCGAGCGUUAAUCGGAAUUACUGGGCGUAAAGCGUGCGCAGGCGGCGCGUUAAGACAGGUGUGAAAGCCCCGAGCUUAACUUGGGAAUUGCGCUUGUGACUGGGAGACUUGAGUGUGGCAGAGGGGGGUGGAAUUCCGCGUGUAGCAGUGAAAUGCGUAGAGAUGCGGAGGAACACCGAUGGCGAAGGCAGCCCCCUGGGCUAAGACUGACGCUGAGGCACGAAAGCGUGGGGAGCAAACAGG
rnacentral:rRNA from 1 species